rnacentral:rRNA from 1 species
CAGCUCAAAUUUGAAAUCUGGCCCCGUCGGGGUCCGAGUUGUAAUUUGUAGAGAGUGUUUCGGGUGAGACCACGGUCUAAGUCUAUUGGAACAUGGCGUCAUAGAGGGUGAGAAUCCCGUAUGUGACCGUGGCUCGAGCCCAUGUGAAGCCUCUUCGACGAGUCGAGUUGUUUGGGAAUGCAGCUCAAAAUGGGUGGUAAAUUUCAUCUAAAGCUAAAUACUGGCUGGAGACCGAUAGCGCACAAGUAGAGUGAUCGAAAGAUGAAAAGCACUUUGGAAAGAGAGUCAAAAAGUACGUGAAAUUGUUGAAAGGGAAGCGCUUGCAACCAGACCUGUCCGUAGGUGAUCAGCCGCUGUUCUCAGCGGUGCACUCGCUCUGCGAUCAGGCCAGCAUCGGUUCCGGCGGUCGGAUAAAGGCCUUGGGAAUGUAGCUCCCUUCGGGGAGUAUUAUAGCCCUCGGUGCAAUGCGGCCAGCUGGGACCGAGGACCGCGCUUCGGCUAGGAUGCUGGCGUAAUGGUUGUAAGCGACCCGUCUUGAAACACGGACCAAGGAGUCUACCAUCUAUGCGAGUGUUUGGGUGUUAAACCCAUGCGCGGAAUGAAAGUGAACGGAGGUGAGAACCCUUUAGGGCGCAUCAUCGACCGAUCCAGAUGUCUUCGGAUGGAUUUGAGUAUGAGCAUAGCUGGUGGGACCCGAAAGAUGGUGAACUAUGCCUGAAUAGGGUGAAGCCAGAGGAAACUCUGGUGGAGGCUCGCAGCGGUUCUGACGUGCAAAUCGAUCGUCAAAUUUGGGCAUAGGGUAAGAUUUGAGUUCCAGAGAUACCUAGAUUCAAUGCUAACUU